CUGAAAGUCUGGGCUGCUAAGUACGGUCAGGAGCCCGUGUGUCUUAACCUAUGACAUAAGACAUCAUAGCACAGAAGAAAAGUAUGAGUCAGUACUUUGAAUGUACUAGUAUGCUAAGUGAGGUAGGCUGAUAUACAUGGGUUCAUAUGCACGAACAAUAACUGGCUGAGUAACAUAAACAUAACUAAAUGAGAGUACACGCAUGAAUACAUAAAUUGUAACUGAGGUCAUGAUAAUACUGAUACUGAGUUAUGAAUACUGAUUAAAUGAUAUUUGAGUUUACUGAUACUGUAAUACUGAUAGCUGUGUUGCUAUUUGUGAUAGUCCUACUUUUGUAGAACUGAUUUGAGUUCUAUACUGAACUGGGUGACUAUGUCUGACAGUCCUAAAUCUGUAGAGCUGAACUGAGUUCUAUACUGAGAGUAAAACUAAAACUAAAACUAUAACUGUGGGAGGUAAUCAUAUAACCGACAUGCCCCUCUUUGAAUCAAUUGGGGUCCACCCUGUAACCCCAGGUUGAAGGGUGUCAGUACCAUGCCAUGGGUAAAGACAAGAUGUGAGUUAAUCCUCUCUGACCGAAAGCCCUUUCGUCAACUCUUGCUGGCAGGAAAACUCGUACGAGAUAUAUCAACCCUAGUCUAGAAGGAAGAUAUCUCAACCUAUGCUAGCUAUAUAGUUUUGUAAUGCAGGGAUUGCUUUUAAGGGUCAAACCCUAUGCUGGUAGGAAUGCUCCAUCCCUUAGUUCGCUCGGUGCUGAAUCCUACUCCUAACUGAAUAGACACUGAACUGACUUCUAGACAAUACUAGGCUUGAUUGAACUAUUAUUGAUCGUACUGUCUAACUGAACUGAGUUCACUGGGUUCUGCUGACUGACAGAAUACUACUAAUUUUUGUUAACUGACCGAGUUUAUUGAGGUCUGAACUAAAUACUGAACUAAAACUGCGACUGAUUACUGAGUACUACUAUUCAUGACAUUACUGAGACUGUUCUAUACCUACUGUAGCUCUAGGUAAGCAGCUAGAUUUUUGGGUAUUGAAUACCUCCAGGACUCGAUAACAUGAAAAGUAAAGCAUAGCAUAAACUUGAAAAGCAUAACCAUGUGCACUUGUUCAUAACUCAUCCAUAGAGAUAUUUUAUCAAACACUUGUAAGUUAUAAACUUGCACAUAAGCUAGCAUGGCAUGAUUUUCCCCUUUUAGUUCACAUGAGCAAUUUAUCAAAUCACUUGGAGUACAUAAUCUAUGCACAUAAUACUAAACAACGCAUAAGCAUCAUAAUUUUAAAUUCCAAUUUACAAUUUCAAGGGUUUAACAUGAAUUCACAUGAUACUACACACAUGAUAAAUAAUUUCACAUGAAACUUGUAAUAAAUCAUGGAUUAGAAAUCCAAUUAACAUCAAAAUCAUGAAUACAUUCAAAGUCCAACAUGGAAUUCACAAAAUCAUCUAACUUGUAGUUUAAAAUAGUUUUUUGAACUCCAAGGGUGGAAGAAAACCCUUGGAUGAACACUUCACAUACCUUGGUACUUGAAUUAAUGAAGGUUGAUGGUGAAAUCCUUGGGACUUGAAUCUUGAAUUUGAUGGGUUAGGGUUUGAUCUUGAGAGACUUCGAGAGAAAAUGAGUGUAUUUUGCUUAUUGAGGGCUGAAUUUCGUGUUUUGGGGCUGAUUGAGGGUGGAAAAAUGACCCAAAUACCCUUAUGGAUGUGGAGUUUUAAUGACUAAAAAUAGGGCUAGUGACACAUAGCUCGAUGCACUGCAUUGAUGAGAACGAUGUGAUGGCCGACGCAUCGCGUCAAGUUCAUAUCAGCUCAUUAGAAAUUGGUACUGGGAGCCAAGGAAAAUAUUGAUCGACGCGAUGGGCAAUGCGACGCAUCAAGAUCUAGUUGAUACAUUAUUUUGGAUUUCCAAAACAUGGUUCAAACGAGCUCUAAAAGUUUUGAAACUCACCCAAAGUGACCUCUUGACAUUCCUGAUCAUGAGUCAAUCUAAAAAUCGAUAUUUUAAGGUCAUAAGGUUCGUGAAAUAGGAUUACCAACUUAUGAAGGCUAAAAUAACUCUAAGUACGAAUACUUCGCUAAAAUUUUCUAAGUCUAGACCCCUUAACAAGAUUUAAAGGAUUGAAUUAAACUUAGAAUUUUGUGGGAUCUUACACCUUACCAGUGAAGGUAGCCGAUGGUAAUGCGAUGCCUAGCCAUCACCUAAGCUUUAUUUUGAGAUACCUACUUAGUUUUGAGGUCCUUAAACCCCCCCAACCCCUCCCACAACGUCAAUACAUGAUCUACCAUCACCAAGAGGGUCCUAAAGAUAAUUUUAGAAGCAUUAAAAGAGUUUUAUAGGUAUGGGGGUCACAAUCGUACAGCCUAGAUGGUGACUCAUUCAAAUACUCAUAAAUUCUUAAUCUGAACUUGGAUUGACAAACGGUUGGAGACAUUGGAAAUAAGACUCAAAGUGAUUUAAAUUGAUAUAUAUUAGUCCACAUCAAUCAUUAUAUACUAAGAGUAAUAGUAGCUGAAAGUUUACCCAUGAAAAAUCAACAAUUCAUAAUCAAUCGAUAGGAAAGUGCUCAACUUAACUUUUGAGCUAGGAGAUUAUUAUGGUGUAUAUUCAUUUCCAAAAAUACUUCCACACUGAGGAAAUGUCAUUGACACUUAUAUCUUAGUAGAAACUAUUGGGUUCGGGUUUAUAAAUAUAGAAAAAAUAUGGUUCAACUUUGGCCCAAAAAAGUGGGGUGUUACAAUAUGACGCUUUCAAAAUAAAGAAAAAUGAGUCACUACAAAAAAUGAUAACUAGGUUAACUUCAUUGGUAAAUGAUUUAUCAUUUAUAGGAAAGGUUUUAUCUACUGAGGAAUAGGUAAAAAAGGUCUUCAGAGUCCUACCAGAGUCUAAGUAGGAUGUCAAAGUUACAAUCAUGGGAAGCUAAGGAUCUCACUAGAAUGUCCCUUGAUGAGUUAGAUGGUAAUUUGAAGACCUAUGAGAUGAACAUGGAAGAUUUAAAUAGGGAAUCUGAAAGUGAUGAAUUAGAUGAUGAAGAAGUUGAUGAAACUGCUUCACGCCAUUGGAGAUUCAAUCUUGGAAGAGGAAGAUGGUUCUUUUGAGGUAUGUAUUCUUAAGCUUAAGGAAAAAAUUGCAUUUAUUUCCUAAAACAAAACUUGUUUCCUUAAUGAGGGCUCUAAUUGAUAAUUUCCAAGAAUUAACUUCUGAUAGGGAUGAAUUAUACAAUAGUCUUGCAAGUCUCAAGUUUGACUUUAUUGAUCUAGAAGUUUGCAAGAACACUGUGGAAAAGGAAAAAUGCACUCUUAAGGAACAAGUUGGUCAACUUGAUUCUUCAAAUCUGAUUUUAAAAAUGAUAUCUUAAAACUGACUCUUUUUGAAAAAGGAAAAAAGUUCAAAAGUGAUGAACAAGAAAAUAUUAACCUUGAAUUGAUCAAGUCCAAACAAGAAUGUAGUGAUGAAAAGGAAAAAAUGAACAAAUUAAGCCAAGAAGUCUCUAAACCAAAACUUGAUCAUGAAGGUCAAACAGAUGGACAAAUUCCUCAAGAAUUGUUCAUCAACUCAAUGAAAAAACUCAUAGUGAAAGGGCUAGAUUGGCUUUUUUCAAGAGCUCUAAUAUUACUAAGGACUUAUGUUAUAUAUUGGUAAUAAUGGAAAUCUAACUACUGAAUGUCCAGUUGCUGUUAAAAGUAGAGAAAGGAGCACUAAUUUUGUAAAGAAAUCUGACUUCUUGGUAGUACAGAAAAAUAGAAUGAAAAGCAUAAUUGGCCAGAGAAACAGAUCACACAACUUGUUACCUCGAUGAGCUAGGUGAAAUCUGAUUCACCCUUUUACUCAUCUGGGUUCCUAAGUUAACCCCUAAUUUAUUUUGUAGGUAAAAGUGAAAGGAGUUAAGCAAAAUUAGUACAUGGAUAGAUCUUGCUCAAGGCAUAAGAUUGAAAGCAGAUAAAGUUCCUUUAACUCAUCAUAUUUAAAGGAGUAAUUGAUCUUUUUGAGAUGGCAAAAUGAGCACCAUUAAUAGAGUUAUAAAAAAUUUGGGAGAACUAAAAAAAAAGACUUCGAAAGAUGGACAGAUUUGUAGUGCUUAUAUAAGAGGGAAGCAAGAGAGAUCGUCUUUCAAAACAAAGAGUCAUAUAAGUACGACCAAGUGCUUGGACCUGGUCCAUAUGAAUCUUUGUAGACCAAUAAGGGUAAUAAAUAAGAAAGUUAAGAGGAACAUAUCGUACCACCUGGUCCAACGAGGACAUAUUGAUAGGGGGAACAAUAAAUCAAGAAAUUGAUUCAUCAAUAAGACCAACACAAACCGUUGAUAAUUUUGUUGGUAGUUCAUUGAUAUUGUCAAAAGAAUCUUCAUAUAUCUCAUGGGAAUCAAUGACUCGAGACUAUGGUAUAUAAAAGAAAGCAAUUUCGCUCUUGUGGGCUAUAAAAAUGUUGACUAUGUGGGUUACUUAAUUGAGUGAAGAAGCACCAAAGGUACUAAGUAGAAAACACUUUGCAAGGAAUAGGUUAGACUUGGGGAUGAUUAAAAUUGCAUGAACUCCCCUUAAUGAUUGACUAGGAUAACCAUUUUAUUUUUAAUCUUAUUAGCUAAAAUAUUAUUCGAUUCAAUCUUGCACAUUUAGCGGUGCGUCCCAAUUCUAGAUUUUUGACUCUUCUAACCUAAUUUUGUAUUAGAUUGUGCAGAAAAUAGGUACAAACAAGCAAUUGUGACCACAAAGUUCUUCUUAUCAGGUAUGUUCUACACUGACAUAAGCAUAGGAUGUGUAAGUUGAAACAGUUGAGCACACCUGUUCAAUUUCUCACACUUCAUCCCCCCUUGUCCUAUAAAGCUAACGAAUUGGUUGACCAAACUUUCUUUGAUUCUCUCCAAAUGGUUGUGCACAAAUAUUUUAAUCCUACACAAGAAAUUCUUUCUUCUCUCAACCAAAAUAUUAGUUUUUAUUCCAUUGAUUUGCCAAGCUUGAUCAUAAAUCUCAUGCAACAUAUGUAUCUGAAGAUUGAAAAAGGACAUGCUCUUCCUUUUAGUUUCUUGAAAAAGGAGAUGCUCUUCCUUUUAGUUUCUAAUUGGCUCAAAGUUUUUUAGGACUUCUCAGUCCUAGUUCAUAUUUGACUUUUCAAACAACAAAGAAUGUUCUUGAACAGAUGAAUCAUGCUGCUCUACUUGUUUCAAUAAGGAGGGCUAACAUUCAUUUUUUUAAAAAAAAGGAAAAUACUUUAGCUGAGAAAAUUUCUGAACUAGAAGCUACACAAGACAUCCAUGAAGUAGAAUAAGAGGUCCUUCAUUUGAAGCUUGACCUUGAUUGAGAGAGGGCUAAAAAUGUUGCUCCUCACUAUUCAUAUCCUUAAACAUGUCCCACUUUUAUACCAGAUUCUUUUUUGAUUAAUGCUCAGUUGUUUUGCUUUGUUUAGUUCUAGUUUAGAUUUAAUGUGGACUAUGCUCUCGCAUAUUAAUAGAAUGGUUAUAUUUUCUUAAUUGAUUCAUGUUCUUUCUCUCUUUAAUACAUUACUAUAUUGGCUAGAGUCUUUGUCUGAUUGUUUUGGUGAUAGCCCAAGUGUCCACAAAUAGCGUAACUAAUUACUUUGACAAGUUUAUUUUUGCAUUGAAGUGGUUUUUUUAUGAUGCUAAUAGAGUGAAUAUAAGGGUUGUGCAAUGUUUAUAAUCCAUUGACUAACCUAUUUUAUUCUAGUGUUUCAUACUUCAGUACCUACUGGUAAAGAUGUUUCAAUGCACAAAGACAAGAGGUUUAUCAUCAUCAAAAAGGGGGAAUUUGUUGGAACCUUGAAGUUUUGAUGAAUGAAAAUAUGAAUGAAACAAUUUGAUAUACGUGUUCCACUAUCCAACAAGUUCAAGAGUGCAAGUCCACGGUAUAAAUAAUUGAGACUCAUAAUUAGUUAAAUUGGUGCAACUGGAAAAUUCAACUAACUGAUCACGUGGGGAAUAGAACAAGUUGAAUUUGAUUCAAACACUUGAUCAUAAGAGAAAGAAAAUUGAGUUGAAAAAGGAGUCCUAUGUGAAGGAGUUUCACUUCUCCUGAAGAGUCCUAUGUGUAGAAAGAGAAAGAUUCUGAAAUUUAAAGAAGUGGUGUUUGAGCUCAACACGUGAUGACAAGUGAAAGAAAGAGUUCCACUUAGAUAAGGAGUUUGACUUAAAUAAGGACUUUGACUUAACAACAAACUUUGAUUAGUUGAAGAGUCCAAUUGAAGAUAGAAGAUUGAUGACAUGAUGGACUCUUUGAAGAGUUGCUGUUAAACAAAGAAAGUGAUUAACAUAAUCAUUUAUGCACUUAAAAAAGAAGAAAAGGGCAAUUGAUAGAUUGACUUUAUGAAGUGCUACCCAAUCACCGAAGAAACACAUUGAAGAACCUGGUCCUAAUAUAGAAUAUGACUAAGAGUUUUAGCGUUGAUUGUUAGGAAUUAUUCAUUGUGUUGAACUGUUGAUGUAAUAUUAGUUUUAAUGUGUUAUAAACUAAACUAGGAGCUAGUCUUUGAGUUUGGGAAAAGUCAGAGACUUUGGGAACACAUACCUUGGAUGGUGUGUGUAGCUAGGAAUUAGAGUCUAUAAUUCCUAGUUGUUGAGUUAUAGAAAUUAGAGUUUAUAAUUCCUAGGUUACAUGAGUUUUGUAAUCAGUUGUUGUUGAGGAUCAUUGUUGUGUAGUAAAGUUGGGGUUAAAUCCUGUAGAGGUACAGGUCAUGAUUUUUUACUCCUUUUUGAGCCGGGUGUUUUCUACGUAAAAAUCCAUUGUGUUAUUUUCUUAUUGUUGACGCGUUAGUCAACCAAAAACUAAGAUAAUCAGUAGGGUAACUCUAACAGUUGAAAUCUCCUCCUACCAUCCAAGGCGAUCCCAUGUUACUGACCAGGUAAUAUAAAUUGUCUCAUAACUCCAGUCUUUAUCCUUCAUCACACUAAACACAAAUAUAAGGUAUCCAUCAAAAUUUUCCAUUGCAUUAUAGCAUCAAUGAAGAUCCGUAUUUUACCAUUAGUAUUAGCAAUAGCUGACUCCAUCCAUAGUUUCAUUCUAUUUCUGCAGAUGUCUAUAAUCAUAUUAGGUUCCAUCAAGGCUACAAUAAAGCAUUUGCACCCUUUUUCUUCACUGACGAGUACCCGUUGUGUAUUAACAGACCUAAUAUUCCACAUUAGGGCCUUAAUAUGAUUUAUACUUUUAAGGUUACUGCUCUCUUAGGUAUAACCCUCUUACCUUGAAUAUUUUCUUAUUUUUUGCCUUCUUUACAUUUUUAGCUAAAGAUCUGGGUGAUAAAUCAACUUCUUUAACUAAUUUGAAAGUUUGUGUAAGUUAAUUUCAACUCCUAUUCCUCCUCCACAAGUUGUCCGUCCUCGUCUGUUAUUAAGGUGUCUCCUGUAUUUGUAUUUUAUUCUUCCCCUGUUGUUCUUUGUUUAUUGUCUCUCCUUGGACCUCUUUUUCAUUAGUGACAUUGUCAAAAAAUGCUUUCACCCAAGCUUUUGCACUUUCAUGGACAUUGGUUUAAAUUCUUUAAGCUGAGGGUCUUUCAGAAACAACCUCUAUACCUACCAAGGUAGAGGUAAGGUCUUCGUACACUAAACCCUCCCCAAACCCUCCCCAGACCUCACUUGUCGGACUAUAUUGGAUAUGUCAUCGUUGCUAUGGUUGGGAUUUCCUACUUUUCCUUGUUGUCUUUUAUAGGAUUCCAGUUUCCUACAUGUAUUAUCAUUAGAUCAUUCAAAGCAUGCUCAGCUUUGUAAGGAUUACAUCUCAAGAGCCCGACUGUGCUCUCUAAACACGCCUAAUGCUCAACAGCCAAAUCUUGUUCAACAAUUCCUGCUAGAGCAUCAGUAAUUCCAUUUUAACUACUUAUAUAUUUCGAAAAAGCAAUGAGACGAGGAAAUGAAGUUGGAUUUGACCGUGGAGCUCUAGAGAUACUCAAAAUUGAUGUAGUUCUUUACCCUUUGUUCUUAACAUGUGGAUUACCUGUCAAUUUUUGCAUAUUUGGGAAGUUUAUAAAUGAUCUGUAUGUAUCUUAUUUUAUAGAUAUGUUUUUCUCUCGAAAAAGAAAUAUUCUUAUCUUUUUAUUUUGUGUAUCUUCUACAUACUUAUCAAUUAUUACAAAAAUAUAUACUAAAAAAAACUUUUGACAUAAGGUACAUUACAAAAAUACCACUUUCAUAUUUGAAUAAAUAAUAAUUAUAUUACCUUUGAGAGUAAUUUUAGAGUUUAGUAAGCUGCAUUCUGUGUACCAUAUUACAACAAAAUAAUGACAGCUAAAAUUCAAAAGAGAUGCAAUUGUUGUAAUUCACUAAUGAAACAAAAAUCAAAAGGGGUAUAUACUUUCAAACUUUGAAUUCGUAAGUCCAUUGUAGUUACUCAAUGAGGGUGCUUGAUCGACUUAGAGAGAAAACAUAGUCUAUUUUUUUGAAGUUUGUUGUCUAAGAGAGAGAAUCUAAUCUUUUUCUGAUGUAUGUCAACUUAGAUGUAUGUCUAUUACAACAGGCGAGUCAAAUAUUGGCAACAAAUUAGGAAAAAGAAAUUACUGAAAUAUAAAAAUUUUGGUAGCAAAGCUGUCACUCAUUGCAACAUUAUCUAGAACUUACCAUUGCAAAAUUGGAAGACACAUAAAUGAAGGGGGAAGGUUCUAUCAUGAGCAGCCUAUAAAUAUACUGCAUAGUUAGUACUUAUUUCUAUCAUUUCUUACCUUGGAGAAAAAGUUUGUCAUUCAUACUUCGAAUAUGCAGAAUGCAAAUUUCCCCCCUUCAACUUUAAUACCUUCUCCUGUACUACUUCAUUGCCCUAUAUGCUAUGGAAUAUUUCAUACUCAUUUUGAAUUUAUGGAUCAUGUACAAGUUAUUCACCCAUCACUGUCUGAGAAAACAUCCAUCCUAGAUUCUCCUAUAUAUGCAUCCUAUAUUGUUUUGCCAGGCAAUCCGCCAUCAGCUCAACCUGUUUUCCCACAACAUGUGAGUUCGCAAGGAAAUAAUAGAGUUUUUGUCCAACCAACGGCAUCUUUGAAUCAUAACGAGCCUAUCAGAUGGGAUAGAGCACCACCAAUUGAUAGUCAACACAUGGCAAGAAGAAAUAGAGUUGCUAAUUUUACAAGACCUUUGAUCAAUCAAUUGAAUGCAGAUGAAUUAGUUAACAUAGCUGAAGAACAAACUGAUUUAGACCUGAAUUUGAGGCUUUAAUUAGAGAAAAGACUAUCUGGAUCUUCUUAAUAAGGGAAUGUCUAAAAAUGUGUUGAGUUAGGAGUCAUGUUUUUUAGUGCUUUUAAGUUUUUAUAUUUUUGUCCGACAGCGGGGUGUCUAAAAGGUUGAGUCUGUCGUUUUAUUUUAUUUUAUCUUAUUUUUUCUCAAGCAUGGUGAGCAUGUCUAGAAUUGUGCUUGGAUUGAAGUCUGUUGUUUUAUUUAUUUGUUAAAUAUUUUUCUUGAUUUAAAUAAUCCAAUCCAUUUAUUUGUGUGCAAAUAUUUCUUUGUUCCUUGUCGAGCAUAUUAAAAAUAAACAAAUUUUUUAUAGUUCAAAUAUAAUUUAUUUUACGUAUUAUUACAGAGCAAAUAUGUCAAGCUUUAGCCAUCAUAUUAUAUAUAUGACACGUCACUCGUUAUGCUAAAGCUUUUCCAACUUGUAAUUUUCACACCAUAAUUAUUUUUUUAUCAAAAUAUCAUUAUUUAAAGAUAUAACAAUAUUUUGUUUUCCUUAUUUUUUCUAUUCCUUUAUUUACUAAAUCUAUUUUAUAAAGCUGAAGAUAGUUUAGUAGGAUCCAUACUAUCUACAAGAUUACAAAAAUAUAGUCAUAAUCAAAAUACCAAAACAGAUCAGAUUGUUGUAAUUCAUUAAUGAAACUAAAAUCAUCAGGGACAUUUACUUUGAACUUUAAAUUCGUCCAUCGUAUUAAAUAUAGAUGAACAAAUGACAAUUUUUAUAGUUAUUCAAGGAGGUGUUUGAUCGACUCAGAGAGAAAGCAUAAACUUUUUGUAAAGUUAUUCAACUUAGAAAGAAAAUAUAAUUUUUUCCUGAAGGCCGUUGCAGCAGGUUAGUUAUAUACUAGUUAGAAGAAGCCCGUGUCCUAAAUGAAUAUUAUAAUAAUAAUCAUAUCAAUUAAUAUGACAACUUUUUAAUUUUGAAAUUUAAAUAAAUUUAUUUUCAGAGUUAUUUUUGCAUACAUUCUUAAAAUAUUUUAAAUUAUCAAUUAUUGUGAUUUAUCAUUCAAAUAUAUAAUUUUAUUUUAAAAAUUAAUUCACGAUCAAAAUUAAACUCUACAAAUGUAUAAAUUAAUAAAGAAUGUGAAAAGCAAAAUUCGAUGGGCCAAUACUACUGUACGGGAUAUAAUUUGUAGAGUCAAUCAUGUAUUUUAUAUCUUUUAAAUUUUUUAAGUUGUUAAUUAUUGUGAUUUAUAGUAUUUUUUACGUGUUUUUUUUAAAUAUAUAACAUAUUAAUUUUGUUUAGAUAUUUUAAGCAGGUAACUAUUGUAAUUUAUAGUACUUUUUAUGUAAUUUUAAAAUAAUAUAUGUUACUCUUCUUGUCCAAACUUUUGUGACAUUGAUAGUUAAUUAUAUUUUUUAAAUAAUUAAAAUUUUUAAUUAUUAUGAUUUAUAAAACUUUUUUUUUCUAUUCCAAUUUAAGUGGAAUAAUGCAUAGAUGACCAUAAUAAUUAAUUAGAGCUGAUAUAGUAAAAUUAUGAUUGAAAUAGCGAAGCAGACAUAUCUUAAAUGACUCACAACAACUAAUUAAAAGUGAUAUAAUAAAAUACUAUAAAAAAUACUUGUUAAAAAAAUUUAAGUAGUCUUCAUAUAAGACGUUAAGUUAAUUUAAAACAUCAAGACUUAACUUAUCAUUUUAUAUCUAUUUUACCUUUCAAACUAAAUAUUAAUUUUUUUAAUAUUUAGAUAACUUAUAAUAAUUAAUUAGGGUGAUAUUUAAUAAAAUUACGAUUGAAGCGGCUGAAACAAAUAUGUCAUAAUUAUUUAUUUUUUAAUAUGUAAAUAACUUAUAAUAAUUAAUUAUGGGUGAUAAUAUAAAAUCACGGAAGCAAACAUGUCAGCAGCCUAAACUCUCUCUUAUAUAAUAAGAGAAUAGACAAUGAUUUAGGAGAGCGAAACCACUAGUUUAUCAAUUUUGUUAGCAAAGUUGUUAUCACUGCAACAAUAUUUUGAACUUACCAUUGCAAAAGCGGAAAACACAUAGCGGAAAACCCGAAAAUAUGAAUCAAGAGAGUCUAAGUGUAAAUAAACAAAAGGGUGAAAUCUAAUACACUUCCCUAAUCGCUUCUGUUUCUCUAGAAUCCAGGUUUGUAGAUCUUUGGUGAAAUAACAGGGAAUGAAAAAGCAGUAACUAAAGAUAAUCAGUCUAGUGUUACACAUAGAAACUCCAAGUUUGCAGCUUCUAGAAACAGUUGCAAGCUACACGAGUACUAGUCUCCAAAUUUGCAUAAAAGUUACAUUAGUGUAGCAUGAGUACAGAAAAAAAUGUGUACCCAACAAGUAUCAUUAAUCAAACCAAUAAGGUGGCGGCAUUAGCAAUAGGUGCAGUCUGAUCUCUUGCCGUAGAUCCACUUGUCCGAUUAGAUUGUUGUAAUACACUAACAAAAACAUAAUCUUUUUUGAAGUCUGUUACCGCAACAUUUGGAAAAAGAGAUUACUAAAAUAUAAAAAUUUUGGUAGCAAAGCUGUCAAACAUUACGACAUUAUCUGGAACUUACCAUAGUGAAAGUGGAAGGCACAUAAAUGAAGGGGAAAGGUUACAGCAUGAACAACCUAUAAAUAUACUGCAUAGUUGGUACUUGAUCUCUACCAUUUCUUACAUUACAGAAAAAGUUUGUCAUUCAAACUUCAAAUAGGAAUAAUGCAAAUUUUUCUACUAUUGUUUUAGUACCUUCUCGUGUAUUACUUCAUUGCCCUGUAUGCUAUGGAAUUUUUCGUACUCAUUUAGAAUUCAUAGAUCAUAUAUGAGGUACUCACCCAUUAUCUGAGCAAACAACCAUCGUGCAUUCUCCUGUAUUUGCAUCCUAAAUUGUUUUGCCAGGAAAUCCGCCAUCAUCUCAACCUGUUGUACCACAACCUGUGAGUUUUCAGGAAAUGAUAGAGUUGUUGUCCAACCAGCAAAGUCUUUGAAUCGUAACGAGCCGACAAAAUGGGGCAGAGCACCACCAAUCGAUAGGCAACAAAUGGAAAGAAGCAUCAACCUUGGAGGUUCAAAUUCAACAUUUGCAGAUACAAAUGAUGCUACUGUAGAUUUUACAAGACCAUCGAUCAAUCAAUUAGAUGUUCCUAUUCCAUCAAAUACAUAUAAAAUAGUUAACGUAGCUGAAAAACAAAAUGAUUUGAACUUAAGCUUGAAGCUUUAAUUGAAGAAAAAAUUACGCUGAUCUUCUUUAUAAGGGGAUGUCUAACAAUGUUCUAAGUUUGGAGUCCUUUUUUUUCUAGUUUUAUUGUUAUAUGUUUGUCUGAUACUAGGGUGUCUAAAAGGGCGAGUCUGUCAUUUUAUUUUAUUUUAUUUUUUGUCAGACAUGGUGGGUGUCUAAAAUUGCAUUUUGAUUGGUGUCUGUUAUUUUUUAUUUAUUAAAAUAUUUGUCUUGAUUUAAAUAAUCCAAUCCAUUUAUUUGUGUGCAAAUAUUUUUUUGUCCUUGCUGAGUACAUUUUAAAAAACAAUAUUAUUAUAGUUCAAAUGUAGUUAAUUUCACCUAUUAUUACUAUGUUAAAAUGUCAAGUGAUAAGUCCCCGUAAAUUUUCAAUCAAUUUAUUUCAGAACCUCCCUUGUGCUAAAUGGUAAUUUUUGACUUGAAUCAUGAUAAGGAAUGUUAACGGGAUGUUUUGGGAGAGUUUCAGAAUUUCCGAAAAGCAUUCGGGGUCAUUUUGGUACUCCAAACCAGUGAGCCUCUGCGAAUAGGGGCGUGGGACACUGCCUACGCCCUGCAAUAAGGGAGUGGCACUCUUCCUACUCCCCACGAUAAGGGUGUGCCACACUGCUGAGCACAAAUCACCCAACUUCAUUUUUUCAAUUGGGGGCAAUGGUUUUUUGUCCUUUGCCAUUAGAUGACGUAAAUGUCUUUUAAUCCAUCAUAGUCAUCAGUUAUCAACUUUUAACAUUGCUAUUCUCCUCUCCAACUACCAAGUCAAGAAACUCAAGGUUUUCUCAAGAAUUCACUACUCUGGGCUUUAAACUCUGCAUUCUCUCCAAAUUCUUUCAAUUUUUAGGCAUGUUGGACACUUUCUAAUUUGAAUACUAUAUUAUUGCAUUCAUUCAAUUGUUAUUGAAGUUUUUUUUUUUUGAACUAUGGGUUUAAACUAGGGUUUGAGAAUUGUCAUCACUAAUGUGAAAUAUUAAUUUUUCUCUUCUUAUAAAUUAUUUAUAAUCACUUGCGGUGGAUUUUAGAUUUUUGAAUAACAUGUUUGAAAGGAUGCAUUUCAUUAGAUAAGUAUUAAAACAUUGAAUGUUAAGGAUGAUUGAAAUCAUGAUAUUCAAGUCCUUUGAAAAAGCUUUGAAUUGAGAUGAUGAACAAAUAUGACACCCUAUCUUUUUGAGGUAUUGAAAGUGUUAAACUUUAUGACUGCUUUGAGAUUUUUUUGCUAUUUAAUGAUUAUUAUGAGCAUCAUUUUGAAUGAUGGGAUUAAGGAGUCGUAACUAUUUUAUGAUAAUGGUUCUUGGUAUGAUAUGAAUGGGUUGCAAGUCUUGGUAUGACGAUAACAGUAUGAAUAUAUCCUAAUGAAUGACUCCCUGAUAAAUGUUAUGUUCAAACUAUUUUAAUUGGGAUCUAAAGAAAAUUAUAUAGCACACUGUGAAGGCAUAAGUCUUCGUGACCAACGCUUGAAACCUAUAUUGUUGGCAUAGAGAUGUCGUACCUUAAUUGGAUGAUUAGAUUAUGUGCUUAACAUGAUGAUAAUAUGUAUGGUGGCUUUAUCAUACUUGUGACUUUAGCUUAACUUCGGUAUGUGAGACCAACAUGGACUGGGGGCCCAUUGGUUUGGGAGUACCGCACCCAUAUAGCCCGUGGGUUACUAGAUGACCCAUACUAUCCAUGGGUCAGAAAACUACGAUGAAAGCUAUAUAGUUCAGGAUUAAAUUUCAAAGGUUCAUAUAACAUGUCCCUUACCCCUACCCCAACAUCCUAUUAUAUAUAUAUAUAUAUAUAUACACUUGAUAUGCAUGUGGUUUAUAAUUGGUUUUAGUAAAUACAUACAUGUUUUAUCUCUUUCUUCGGGUGCAUUCCAGUAUUCACCAUACUGACCGUCCUCGAAUGGUUUGAUUUCUUGAUCGAAAAACUAUGAAGUAGUGAGCCCUCCAUUUUACGAAAGGCCUGGUCUCUCUUUUUGGUUUUAGUUUAUUAUUCUAGCACUUUUGUAUUUCUUUUGUUAUAAUCACGGACAUGUUCGGAUUUAGUAGGUAUUCUUUAUAUUAGAGUCUUUUGUAGGCAGUGUUGGGUAUUUCUGUAUGGAAUUGAUUGUUGACUCACAAACUUACUCUUUGAUUAUUACAUCUCUCUUAUCCUACUGUUUAGCUUCCACAGUUCAUUAUUUUACUAUGCUCUUGAGGUAAGGCUAAGGGAUCGUCCUAGGCAUUGAUUGGUUUAGGAUGCCCGUCACGGCCAGGCCUCAGUUCGAAUCAUGACAAGCUUGGUAUCAAUGCAUGGUUUAGGGUUCUAGGAUGUCCACGAAGUCAUAUCGAGUAGAGUCUCUCUCAUGGGUGAGUGGCGCACUACACUUAUAACGGGGAGGCUAAAGACAUUUAAGAAUGUUUUCCUUCCUUGUGUUCUAUUUCAAGCUUGGGAGUCUAGUUACCAUGAAACUUCUCUAACUCCUAACUUACUCGCAUUUUAGAUCUUACAUCCUCGAAGAUAUGACAGUCAUAGGAACUUAGCUAGAACCUCUAUCCCAAUUGGGGAAAAUGUGGAGGAUGUUUGCCCUACUCAUGAAAUACAAACUCAAAAUAAAGCCCAUGCUCUGGAUUAUACUACUCCACCAGGGAUUCCACCGGUCCUUACUAGUCCUCCUCAAGCUGAUAAUACUCAUACUCAAUUUCCUUAGGGAGAUAUCUCGAAUGCUGAGUUCCAUCAGUCCAUCCAUAUGCUUACGUGGAAUAUAGCCUCCCAGUUUCAUCAUCUUGAUCAUGUCGGUCCUUUUGUUAACUCGUCUGAGGCCACUCGAGUUUGCCAAUUUGUGAGGCUGAAUUCCCUAAACUUUACAGGCUUUAAGGUUGAGAAGGAUCCUCAGGAGUUUAUUAAUGAUAUGGAAGAUCUUCAGGGUGAUGCAUGCUAGUGAUUUAGAGAGGGUCGAGUUUGUAGCUUAUCAAUUGAAAGAAGUGUCUUAUCAGUGGUACGAGGAGUGGGAAGAGUUAAGGGGUGAAGAUAUUGAGCCGGUAGUGUUGGAAGGGUUCUUGGGUACUUUCCUUGGUCACUUCUUUCCUAAAGAGUUGUGGGAGGCUAAGGCUGAAGAGUUUUUAAACCUAAAAUAAUGUAAAAUAAGUGUUAAGAAGUUUGCAUUAAAGUUCACUCAACUAUCUCGUUAUGCUCUUGAGCUUGUGUAACACCCUGAGUCUGGUACCUCGGACGCUACACGGUGCUUAUAAACUUGAAGGACCAUAAUCUAACCCAUGUAUACUACCUGUUGCAAAUACUGAAUAACAAUACUAUAUAAUGCAGAAUAAUGGGCUGAAAUUCCAUAAGGUUCAAUACUGUAAUAAAUCUGACAAUACGGUAUAACAAUACCAAGACAAAAACAACUGUCUGAAAAUACUCUAGUCUGAAAAGCCUCUAAGUUUUCUGAAUAGGAGUUGAUGGGACAAUCGUCCAACUAAAUUCAUCUACUGAAAUACUAAGUCUAAUGAAAUAAUAAAAUAAAAGAAUAUCCUCGAAUGAUGAGGACUCACUGCUAAGUUUACUGCUGUUGGCUGGAUUUGAACUGCUAAGGAUGCUCGGGAGCUCUUGUGUCUGAACCUAUGUUAUAAGACACCAUAGCUUAAGAAAGUAUGUGUCAGUACGUAAGAAUGUACUAGUAUGCUAGAUGAGGUAAGGCUAAAUGCAAGGGUUCGUAUACAUAGACAAUACUGACUGAAUAACAUGAGUAUGCUGAAUAAGGAUACAUGCAUAAAUACAUAAACCAUAACUAAAAUCAUAGUGAUACUGAAUACUGAGUUCUAAUAACUGGAUUACUGCUAAUUGAGUCUACUAAUACUGUGUUACUGAUACUUAGUCUACUAAUAUGCUGAUAUUGAUUUACUGUAUCUAACAGUACUGAUUUCUGAUGGAACUAGUUGAGUUCUGUACUGAGUUGAGUGAUUGUAUCUGAUAGUCCUGAGAUCUAUAGAUAUAUCUGAGUUCUAUUUUGAAGAAUGAGAAUGAAACUGAUACUGUGGGAGUUAAUCAUCUAACUGACAUGCCCUGAGUCUAAACUAGUGGGGUCCAACCUGUAACCCCAGCUGAAAGGGUGUUAGUACCGUGCUUAGGGUAAAGACAACUACUAUGUAGUCAGUCCUAACUAACGGUUGACUCCUAAGAUCAAUCCUAUCUAGCAGGUAAUCCCUGAGUAUGUCAGUCCUAUCUAAUAGGUGAUAUCUCAUGACCUAUGCUGGAUAUGUAGUUCUGGAACUUAGGGAUUGCUUUUAGGGACCCAGUCCUAGCUAUCACGCGAGUCCCCAUCCUUACGAUCGCUCGGUGCUGAAUCCUACUCUCAACUGAAAGACACUAAACUAAUUUCAUAGUUCAUACUAGGCUUGACUAAACUGGUACUGAUCAUACUGUUUAACUGAGCUGAACUAAGAUCACUGAGUUCCGUUGACUGACGGAAUACUUCUAAAUUUUUCGCUGAAUUCUACUGAUCGUGACAUGACUGAGACUAUUUUGUAACUGACACUGGCUCUAGGAAAAUAGCUAAAUUGUCGGGUAUUAAAUACCCCCAGGAUUCGAUAACAUGAUAAGUAAAGCAUAACAUGAUCUUGCAAAGCAUAACAAUACACGCUUGUUCAUAAUUCAUCUAUUGAGACAUUUCAUCAAACACUUGUAGGGCAUAGGCUUGUGCACAUACUAACAUCUUACAAUUUCAUCAACUUAUUCACAUGAAAGUCAUAAACUCAUACAUAAUAGGAAUACAUUCUAAUGUCUCAUGAUUCAUUCAAUACGGCCUUUCAUCAAACACUUGACAUGUAUUAACAUGUACAUGAAUGGGGAUUUCUUAUUAACAUGCUAUAAUGACACUAUUUCAUUCACAUAGGUAUUUUAUCAAACAUAUAGGGAGCAUGCUUUGAUCAUACAACAAUCAAUACAUCUAAUUAUCAUGUCUAAUCUUUCAACUUGCAAUUUGAGGGGUUUAUCAUGAACAUCAUGCAAAUCAUCACAUUUUAGGAUCAAUUAUUGAAUCUUGUAAUCUAAAACAUGAAUCAAAACUCAACAACAACAUAAACAUGAAUUUCAAUUCAAAUAAAUCAUGAAAACUCACAAAUAUACAAUCUUUGUAUUUUGAAAAUAGAUUCUUGGGCUUCAUGGGUGGAAGGGACCCAUGAAUAAACAUCUAACAUACCUUAAUGCUUGAUUUUAAGAAGAUUGAUGGUGAAAUUCUUGAGAGUUGAAUCUUGAAUUUAAAACCCUAAUGCUUUUUCUUGAGAGAGUUUGAGAGGAUGAGAGUAUAUUUUGGUGAAUUAGGGCUAAAUUUCGUGUUUAUGGCUGAAUUAGAGUGGAGAAAUAACCCUUUUGCCCUUUAAAAAUUUGGGGCUGGACUGCUAAAAGUACCCCAUCUGGAAUGGAAAGUGCAUCAUGGGCUUUAGUUUGUCGCUCUAGGCAGGGCACCGCGGUGCUUAGAGCAUUUCUAUGGCCAGGGCGGCACAGGAUUAACGGCUUUAGCUACUGGUUUGGAAAUCCAAAUAGGCCCUUAUGCUUGUUCGAAAAUGAUGAAACUCAUCCGAGAUGUACUGCUGACUUGCCCCAUUGUGAAUCAACUUAAAAAUUGACAAACGAAGGUCGGGAAGGUCAUGAAAUAAAUCCUCAAAGUUUGAAGGCUUUGAAAGAGUCUAAGUCUUCACACUUAGCUAAAAUUCUCUAAGUGUGAGAUCCCUUAUGAAGCUCUAAGGAGGCUGAAUUAGACUUAGAAUUUUUGCUGGGUUUUACAAUAUCUCCCUCUUGGGAACAUUUAUCCUCGAAUGGGACUAACUAAGCUGAGAUUACAGAUAAACUGAACUUACUUACUGGACAUGAUCAUCUGAAACAUAAUUAUAUGGUUGGAACCACUGAUAUACUAAAAUUCCAUACUGAACAUGCAUAUCUGAUGCAUGAGUACAUGGCUGAACUGACUCAUGAAUGCAUGACUGAAUAUGAAAUGGUAACUGAUACCAAGUUUGUAAGGAAAAUUUGAACAUGAAACUGAAUGGGUUUAAGGACAUGAAAGCAUCGCGGAAUUGUAGGGUAUCUCCUCUUUGGGACACUAUGUCCUUCUAAGAAUGCUUACUAUAUUAAGAUACUGGGGAAAACUGGGGUGAUGUACAGGAUACCUACAAACUGAAUUGCAACUGAAUAUCUGGGAUCUGAAACUAAUGCAUGAUUCAUAAACUGAGCUGAACUGGAAACUACUAGGAUGUUCUAUCUUGGAAUAGUUACAUUUCUAAUAUUUCUGAUAGUAUGACUACAUGGAGAUGGGAAAACAAACCAUAUGAAUUUGACUGUCUGACUGCUAAACUGAAUUGCUGGCUUUAAUGACUAAAUCAUGCUGAAAACUUAAGCUCAACUAGAUCAAGGGACCUAACAAAGCAUAUCAUAAAUAUGAAAGACUCAUAACCUACCCGAAUCUAUAUUAGGGGAACUUCGCUGAUCAUGUCGAGUCUGGAAUGCAUAAAAUCUGUUAUGACAUUGACCACUAGUGGUAUUGGAAGUGGCGCCCUACUAAUGCAAAUCUUUACCCCUCUGAGCCAAUACUCUAUACUCCCAUAGCCUGUGUCCUGGCUUACCAUAUCCAAAACAUACCUCAUUGCCAGCUCUACACAUAGCUAGGUGAUUUCUACUACACUUUUUGCAAAGUAGAUAGGUACGAUCACUAUUUAUACUACCCUAGGUCUUGGAGCCUGGCGCCCCAUCAUGACUGUCAUUCCUGAACUUGAGUACUAGUGCACUAGCUGUAGAUAGAGAUGGGACUGAAAACUUCUGGCUAAACUGAGAACGGUUACCACCCUGUGACCCUAGCUGAGAAAAACUAAAACUACCUAUUCUAGCUCUCUUAUUUUCCUUCUUUUUCUUCUUAGAUUCUGCUCCUCAAUCUGCUGAGCGUGGACCAUAAGCCUAGAUAUGUUCAUAUCCUUAAUUAACAUCAGUCCUUUACUCCUUAACCACACUAUCAGAUACCCUAGACACAAAAUUGAUUAUUCUGGAUCUAUUGUCUGCUACAACAUGAGGAACAUAUUUGGCUAACUGAGUAAACUUGAGGGAAUACUCUUUUACGCUCAUGCUAUAUUAUCUGAGAUUGAUAAACUCUAACACUUUGGCUUCUCUCAGCUCUAGGGGAAAGAAUCUAUCUAAGAAGGUUCUAGCAAACUCUUCGCAUUUUAUGGGCUCUGCAUCUGUACCCCUGUCUACUUUCCACUGCUUAAAUUAUGUAUAGGCUAUAUCUUGUAGCUAAUAGGCAGCUAACUCAGCACUCUCACUAAAAGUCACUUCCAUAAUAUUUGUGACUUUCUGAACCUGAUCAAGGAACUCCUAUGGAUCCUCUUUUGACUUGGAUCCUGAGAAUAGGGGAGAAUUCAUUUGAGUGAAGUCUCAAAUCUUGGUAGAAGCAGUAUUGGCAACUGGGUUGGCCUGAACAAUAGCUAGAUGCCUAUUAUGGACUACUACAGCCUUAGCUAGAGUAGUGAAUGCUACUCUGAAUUUUGCAUGAGAGACGUGCUCCUCCAGAGGAUCUGGUUGGAUAGGAUGAGGUGCUAACUGAUUCUCAUUCCUUCUUUUAUUUGUCCUUUUGGGAGGCAUGUUCUGUAAAAAGAAGGAAAAGAUAAGUUAGAUUGAGGCUUAACUGGAGAUUAUGCUCACUCGUAUGACAUGAAUACUGAAAGAAGGGAAACUGUUCCUAAAAUAUCUUAUUGCCUUAUACUUAUAAGUGUGGCGCGCAACACACCUAUGCAUAAGACUCUACUAGAUGCGGCUUUCAGACUUUCUAGGACACUAUUAAACUCUAGGCUCUAGUACCAAGUUUGUAAUGCCCUGAGUCUGGUACUUCGAAUGCUACACGGUGCUCAUAAUCCUGAAGGACCACAAGCUAACCAAUGACUGGUACCUGCCUCAAAUACUAAAUAACAAUACUGUAUAAUAAGAAAUAAUGGGCUGAAAUGCCAUAAGGUUUAAUACUGUAAUAAAUCUGACAAUAAGGUAUAACAAUACCAAGACUAAAACAACUGUCUGAAAAUACUCUAGUCUGAAAAGCCUCUAAACUGUCUAAAUAAGGAGUUGAUGGGAUAGUUCCCCAACUAACUCCAUCUACUGAAAUACUAAAUCUAAUGAAAUAAUAAAAUAAAAGAAUAUUCUCGAAUGAUGAUGACUCACUGCUAAUUCUACUACUACUAGCUAGAUCUAAAUUGCUAAGGAUGCUCGGGAGCUCGCGCAUCCGAACCUAUGGUAUAAGACCCCAUAGGUAAAGAAAGUAUGUGUCAGUACGUGGGAAUGUACUCGUAUGCUAGAUAAGGUAAGGUUAAAUACAAGGGUUUAUAUACAUAGACAAUACUGACUGAAUAACAUGAGUAUGCUGAAUGAGGAUACAUGUAUGAAUACAUAAACUAUAACUGAAAUUGUAGUGAUACUGAAAACAUAAACUAUGAAUACGUCUGUAUUUUUCUUUGAGAGGCUAUAGGGCAUUUAAGAAAAGUUUCCUUUCUUUCCUUCUCUAGAUCGUCCAGUAAAUUUUUCCUAUCGAAAUCUCCUAUCCAUUCGUGUGGUACCCCAAAAUUCAUCACCUAUGUAUUAUACUUGAGAUAACAUAAUUAGCAAGUUUCAAUUUCCUCCCGAGAUAAUGCUCUCAGAAUUACUAGUAAAAGUUUUAAAAGUCAUACAAAGGGGCUUGAGAGGACCUCUCUAGUGUGUCAUGAGUCCCUUAUGUUGAAAGUUAUGUCCUCAUUCUUAUGAAUCAUUCAGUUAAUACAAAUUAAGAUAUGUAUUCAUAUUCCUCAUUAGCCUUUCAAUAUGGAUAGUACUCAUUAGAAGAACUAGUGUGAGUAUUGAUUGCUGAUUAGAGUUUGUGUUCAUGAGAUAUUGAAACCUAGAGUGAUAUGAUUCAUAAGUAGUUGAAACUUCUUAUAGUUGGAAGUUUGAGUAUAGAAGAGUAAUAGAAAGAAGAGUGAGCAUGACGAUUGAUAGAAAGUAUAGAGAUAAACUUAUGCAUGCUAUAGAUCUUGCAUUAUGUUGAUAUGUCCUUGUGUGUUAGUUUAGUAGAAGGUAGAGAAGGAGUUAUUAGUUAAGGUGAAUUGUUGUUUACUUAAAGUAUGAAAAGAAUUGUUGAUAGUAUUUAUUGUGUUAUAAAAGUAUAGAUUAUUGAUGAAAGUACUUGGUGGUUUAGUAUUGUCAAUUUAAGCUUCCCCUGAGGUUGCAAAAAGGAGUUUAGUUGAAACUUAUAGGACUAUGAAAGAAGUUUAGCUGUAUAGAUGGGUGAAUAGUAGUGAUGUGUAAAAAGAGGACAUGUUAAUGGAUUAUAAUAAGAUAGGCUAUAUAAUCUUGAUCAAUUAUUGUUCUUAUACGGUUUUAGUAGACUAGUUUUUCUUGAUGUUUUAUUUUAUAGUUUCCAAGUGAGAAUUGUGUGUGAGGUUGGGUUGUAAAUUAUGUUUAGCUCUAGACAUUAAGUUUAAACUGUGGAGGGUCAUCAAGGUGGAUGUAAAGAUUGCUUGGUUAGUGAUGCUAGUUAGAUGGAGGUGAACCAAUAGGCUUGAAAAUAGUGAAUGAAAGAAUGUAAGUUUAUUGAUUUGAGAUUAAGCAUGAUGUUGUAGGUAUGAGGUAGUGGUGUGCCCAAGGGGAUAUAAGGUUGCAUUAUUUUCUAUGUUUCUUACGUAUUGUGUGUGGUUAGUAGUACCCUUGAGUUUUAAGUGGAAAAAGCAUAAUUGUCUAGUACAUGGUAUUCUGGAUAGCCAAGUUAAGGAGUUAUGGAUAGAUGAUGUUGAGUCUUUUAACUAUGAUUUUGAUUCUUAUGAUUUGUGAAAAAUAUAAGUAUAGAGGUAUGAUCUUUCUAGCCCAUGAUUAUGUGUUUAGUAACGCAGGUAUGUUUUUUUAGAAUUAAGAGAGUGUAAGUCUAUGAUGAUGAUUAUCAAAGAUAGAGGGAGUUAAGGAUGGUAUAUGGGAGGGGUUUAAAACUUAGAAAAUUUCAGCUAAGUGUUGGGACUUAGUCUUUUCCAAAGCCUUCUAACUUUGAGGAUUUUAUUUAUGACCAUCCCAACCUUCGAUAGUUAAUUUUUAAGUUGAUUCAUUAUCAGGGGAUUUAAUAGUACAUCUUAGGUGAGUUUGGAAUUUUCAGACCCCGUUUAGGGAAUGUUUGGAUGUCCAAACCAGUAGCUAUGCACGAUUAGCAUGCAACGCAUGAUCCAAUCCACCCCUACGAGCAUGCGAUAGAGCAUGCGAUGAACGCUUCAUAGCGUGUGAUGCACGCUACACAACAUACUUCCUUAUUUUUCCAACUCCUAUUUCUGCGUAUUAAAGGGCCAAUGCUUAUAUACCUCAUACGUAUUCAAGUUUAUUCUCAACUUUUAGUAAGUAAGUAAUGGCUUCACUCUAUGGUUUGAUUCAUCCCUCAGAAAUCUAUGGACUUCAGUCUUAUAUUGAAUUGCUUGUGAUAAGUAUGAACUCAUGUUUCAGAGUAUGACCAGUUUUUUUGAACUCAUGAUACUGUUGAAUUCACAUUAUAUCAUUUAUGUCCUCAGUUUAGAUCUCUUUAAUGAAUCCAUGCCUUUGAUAUUCUGUUCCUCAGGCCUCAUUUAAGUGUUAAAGUUAUAUAUAGUAGUCUUUCGUAUUCAGGUCCUUAUGUGUUAGCCCUUCAGUAACCUCUUCCUAUGUCAAGAUAGUGGCGAUGAUAAUGGAUAACAAUGAUUUAGAUGAGAGGGAGUUGAUGACCCUCAUUAAGAAAGAUCAAUUAUGCUUUUCUAUCUAAGGGUAAAGUGUGAAGUAAGAUUGAGGCCAAGUCUUUGGUACCUUUCAUAGUUAGUAAAGAAUUAUGGGUAUGUUUUCUUAAGAAUAAUGCAAGAAAAUUAUCAUUGAUAGAGGUUUAGAGAAUAUGCAAAGUAUGCCUUUAUAUGUAUUUGCCUUGAAGUUAUAUAUGGGUAUAAAGAUAGGCUUGAAUGUCAUAUUGGGAUGUAAGUGGAGGAAUGCAAUAUACGCUAGUGAAUCCAUAGUAAGAGUUCAGAGUUGGUCAUUAAAGUGGUAAAGCACAUUAUGCUUAGAGAGUGAGCUCUAAGAGAGACAUAGAGGAUUGAAGCAUGUUGUUUAGACUAGUAUUGUGGCGUGGCAUGUUGUACCUUGUGAUCUUGAGUUAGGAUUGAUCAUGGUGAGAAGACUUAGAUCAAUUUUGACAUUAGUAGAAUGAAUUAUGAAUGGCCAUGUGAGAAUUAGGAGUUGAAUCAAUGAAGAUGGUGAGAGAAUUUAGUUCAGUCUAGACAUCAGUAGAUGGAAAUAUUAGUGCUAUAUGAGAAUUAUAAGUUGAAUCAAGCGAGUAUAGUAUUUAAGGGGAAUAGUAUAAAUGAGGGAGUAUUCGAGAACUGUUGCUAAGCUUGAAGGUAAGAAGUUGCAUCGCCUAAAACCUGGUAAUUUUAUCAUAGUUUAUGAUUUAUAUGUCUAUAUUCCAUGUUAUGGAGUGUUGAAGAGAUACUCCAACUAUGUAUAAGUUUCCAGCGUAAUUCAGUCAGUAUAGCCAGCAAUUCAGUUUAACAGUAAGGCAGACAAGUUUGUGUUUUUUUACACCUUUUUACCCAGUCCCACUAUCCAAAGUCUCAUGCGUAUGACCAUUCCAAGAGAUAAUCUAUUCCAUCCAUGUAAAUUAUAAAGCGUAGUUCAUGCAUCAGUUUCAAAUAUUAAAUCAUGAAUCAGUUCGUAAUUAUCCGGUGUAUCAUCUCAGUCUUUUCCUAGUAUUUCAACCAAAUCAGUAUCAUUCGGGGACAAAUGAUCCCACGGGGGUAUUGUAAUAUCCCGAGUUUUCAUGUCAUAAACCUAUCAUCUUUUUCUUGUAAAUUUAGAUCUAGCCUAAAAUAAUGGUUACUCAUAAGUUGACACUCUCGUUUCUAUCUCAGCCAUUUCGCUAUUUUUAAUGAGAAUUCAUGCACUCGCAGAUCAGUUCAGUAGCUCAUUAUGUUUAAGAUUCAGUAGCUCAUUAUGUUUAAGAUUCAGUGAUUCAGUUUAUUUCAAUUGUGCAUGAUAACUUAUAGCCUUAGAUUCCUCAGUGUUUUCAGCUUCAUUAGCCAUAUUUGAGGAUGAAUGUUCCCAAGGGGGAGAUAAUGUAAUACCCCACAUUUUCGGGCUAGUCUUUGAACCAUCAUUCCUACAUGUGAUUUAUAAUCCAAGUGAUUUUCAUGUGAAUAUAUGUUUUAUGAUCUUUUUACUAGUGUGUGAAAUGCUCAUGAGGUAAAAAAUGUUCAUAGAAAUCAUUUAGAGCCAAGUUGAGCUAAGAUCCUUUAAUUCGUCCAAAAUUCGAUAUUUGAUUCUACAAGGGUCUACUUUAAACAUGUAUAACUUUUAAUAUAAAUGGAAUUUUUCAUCCCAAGACCCACUAAAUUUUAGAUAAUUGAAUCAGCUUUCCAACGAUACCAAUUUUGCCAAAAUCUGGUUCCUAAGAAAAAAGUUGUGGCCAUUUUUGUGAGUGAGGCAGUAGCAUUGCGUGAUUAGCGUGUGACGUACACCCUAUCGCACGCCCCCAAUUUGCAGGUUCUGUUUUUGCAUUUUUAAGGGAAAAAAGGUCCUUUCCUUCACCCAAACUCGUCCAUAAUAGAUAAUUAAUGCCUUAGGGAGCAUUAUUUGCCCCUUUAACCAUAAUUUCUCUCCAAGCCUCCAUCAAGAACAAACCCUAAUCCCCAUUCAAGAAGUUCAAGACUUCAUUACAAUACCUUCAAGAAAAACCAAGAAUUAGGUUCCUUAAUCCAAGAAUCUAAGAGUUCAAUCUUCCAAGUUCAAUAAUUCUUCAAAAUAUAUCAAGAAUAAAGUUUCUUUCACAAGUUCAUCACUCAAGCUCCAAGAUUCAAGAUUUCUUCAUCAAAUUCAAACUAUUAUGUGGGGUUUCAACAAGAACAAUUCUUUCGUUCUUGUCCCCAAAAUUAUGAAUUUUAUUAAAGAUUACAUGACUUGCAAGUUGGGGUUUAUGCCCAAAUUAUCUUGUUUUGAGUUUAUAAAGUUAUAAGUGAUUUAAGCCUUGAAUUGCAUGACUAUUUUCAUAUAUUUAUGCAAGUAGUGCAAUUUUCCAGAUUUUCCAAGUAAGUUUAGGAAUGAUAUUGUGAUUCUUGAUUUUAUUAUUUUGAUAUUGUUGAAGUAUUUUCAAGAAUCAUGUUGAGCAUAAAGUUUUGUUGUGAAUUUGUCAUAAGUUUAAAGCAUGAAUUUUAAGCCCAAAGAUUAAGUAUUGAAAUCCUCAAGAUCAUGUUCAUAAAAGUUUUGAUUAUUAAAUCCAUAUCAAGAGUGAGUUUGAGUUUUCAAGAAGACUAUGGUCUUAAGCUUUCCUCUAACAAAUUGCUUACCAAGAUUUAAAGAAAGUUGAUGUUUUGAUCCUAAGCUCAGAUAGGAAUCCACAUUAUUCAUACAGUUUAUGAUUUAAAGCAAAGAGAAGCACAAUUGGUUUUUAUUAUAAACCCUUGUGUUAUUUUAAGGUGGAUUUCCUAAAAGUUCUGAGCAACAAGUAUGGAAGUAGUAUUUAGCACCGAGUUGGGUAUGAUUCCAAGGUCUCAUGCCCCAGAACUACAUGCCACCAUAGGUUUAUGAUUUUCCCAUAGUGGGUUGAGAUGGUGAUCACUCCCUACAACUAAUAUAAGUGUAUACUAAAGCUUUUAGCACUACAUUUCAAAAGUCUUAUAAAUAGAAUGGCAAAAUAGUUUUAAAAACUACGUGUAAAGGCUUACAGACUUCCUCAGACAUUGCUUUACUUAAGCCUUAGUCACAGACUUACAGUUUUCAGUUCUUAGAAGAUAAAGAUGAGCCUUUCUAACUUAGCUUACAUGAUUUACAAAUAGAAUAGAAGUACAGCUUUUAGAACUAAGUGUUAUGACUCACGAUAUUUACAUACCAUGUUUUACUACUCAUGAUAUAUGACUUCUCAACUUUCAGUUACUCAAGCCAGUGUGAGUCAUUUUUGCUUAGCAUGUAUUAUUUACAAAAUAUAUGUACUUAUUUAUAUAUACAGUUACAGUUUUACUUAUGUAUUCACCCCGAUAUACUCAGUACAUCCUCAAAGUACUGAUCCACAUAUAUGUCUAUGUGCUACAUUAUCUCAUAAUGUAGGUACAAGUCAUAGCACACAUAUUAUAAUCAAACAGGUUGCAGCUUCCAGUUAGUAGGUAAUGAAUCCUUUUGAUUCAAGGGCUCAAGUCAGUCAGAGUUUGUGUAGCAUUUUAUUUUCUUCAUUCAUUCGUGUUGAUUGAGGAUAGCUGGGGUCAUGUCUCGGUUACCUAAAAUCAAUGCUAGUAGAGGCUUCAUAGACAGUUAGUAGAGUUAAUGUAUUUGACUUCAGUUUUGUUUGUAAAAGCAGAGUUGUAAACAUUUUCCUACAGUUGUAUUGAUCAUAUUUAACUAAAGAUGUGUUUUUCGCCUAUUUUGUACAGAUUUAUGUAUCUUAUUUAGUUGCUCAUAAGUUAUUCCUAUAUAAGAGUUAGCUUGGGAUCACUUGUGGUCCUAAGCACCAUGUGACAUCUCGGGAUAAAUUUUUGAGGCGUUACAAAGGGUGUUAGUACCAUGCCAUGGGUAAAGACAACUGCUGUGGAGUCAGUUCUAAUUAACGGGUGACCCCUAAGGUCAGUCUUAUCUAGUGGGUGAUCCCUGAGUUUGUCAGUCCUAUCUAAUAGGUGACAUCUCAUGACCUACGCUAUCUACAUAGUUAUGGAACUUAGGGAUUGCUUCUAGGGACCUAGUCCUAGCUAUCGGGUGUGCCCCUAUCCCUAGGCUCGCUCGGUGCUGAAUCCUACUCCCAACUGAAAGAAACUAAACUGAUUUCCUAGUUCAUACUAGGCUUGACUGAACUGUUACUAAUCGUAUUGUUUAACUGAGCUAAACUGAGAUCACUGAGUUCCAUUGACAGAUGAAAUUCUACUAAAUUUUUUCCUGAGUUCUGUAACUGACUGAAUUCUACUCAUCGUGACAUGACUGAGACUAUUCUAUAAUUGACACUGGCUCUAGGCAAACAACUAAAUUGUCAGGAAUUAAAUACCCUCAGGACUCGAUAACAUGAUAAGUAAAGCAUAACAUGAUCUUGCAAAGCAUAACAAUACAUACUUUUUCAUAAUUCAUCUAUAGAGAUAUUUCAUCAAACACUUGUGCACAUACUAACAUCUCACAAUCUCAUCAACUUAUUCACAUGAAAGUCAUAAACUCGUACAUAAUAGGAAUACAUACUAAUGUCUCAUGAUUCAUUCAAUACGGACUUUCAUCAAACACUUGACAUGCAUUAACAUGUACAUGAAUGGGAAUUUCUUGUCCACGUGCUAUAAUGACACUAUUUCAUUCACAUAGGCAUUUUAUCAAAUAUAUAGGGAGCAUGCUUUGAUCAUACAAUAGUCAAUACAUCUAAUUAUCAUGUCUAAUAUUUUAACUUGCAAUUUGAGGGGUUUAUCAUGAACAUCAUGCUAAUCAUCACAUUUUAGGAUCAAUUCUUGUAUCUUAUAAUCUAAAACAUGAAUCAAAACUCAACAACAACAUGAACAUGAAUUUCUAUUCAAGUAAAUCAUGAAAACUCACAAAUAUACAAUCUUUGUAUUUUGAAAAUAGAUUCUUGGGCUUCAUGGGUGGAAGGGACCCAUGAAUAAACAUCUAAUAGACCUUAAUGUUCGACUUUAAGAAGAUUGAUGAUGAAAUUCUUGAGGGCUGAAUCUUGAAUUAAAAACCCUAAUGUUUUUUCUUGAGAGAGUUUGAGAGGAUGAGAGUAUAUUUUGGUGAAUUAGGGCUAAUUUUUUUAGUUUAUGGCUAAAUGAGGAUGGAUAAAUGACCCUUUUACCCUUUAAAAAUUUGGGGCUAGACUGCUGAAAUUGCCCCAGUCAGAAUGGCAAGGGCACAGCGGGCUCUAGUUAGCCACUCUAUGAAGGGCGUCGCGGUUCUUAAAGCACCGCUAUGGCCAGGGCGGCACGGGCUUAAUACCUUUAGCUAAUAGUUUGGAAAUCCAAAUAGGCCCUUACCCUUGUCUAAAAUUUUGAAACUCACCCGAGAUGUACUACUGACUUGCCCCAUCAUGAAUCAACUUAAAAAUCAACAAAUAAAGGUUAGGAAGGUCAUGAAAUAAAUCUUUGAAGUUUGAAGGCUUUAAAAAAGUCUAAGUCUCAACACUUAGCUAAAAUUUUCCAAGUGUGAGACCCCUUAUAAAGCUCUAAGGGUCUGAAUUAAACUUAGAAUUUUUGUGGGGUCUUACAACUUGUGUCUAAUAUGAGGUCUAGAAUAAAGAAUCUUUCUUUAGGUUUUUCUCGCGACUUGGUGUUAGGGUGUAAGGCAGCUAUGCUGAGUAAUGAUAUGGAUAUAUCUAUAUUGGUGUUCUAUAUGCAACAGGUGGAAGAUGAGUAAAAAAGUGGAUAGAGGUAGAGAAAAGGCAGAAUAAGAAGGUUAAGCAUACACAUCAAGAUGUAUGCCAAUAGUUUGGUGGUUUAAUAAGAAAUCCUGGGAAAUUAUCAUCAAUCAGCCAGUGCUCCGACCCCCAUUAGUGACCAACACUCCUAGUCUAGCAAUGACCAUUGGGCACAGAGUGCCUUAUCUCAAGCCAGUAUAGCACAGUUGAUGCCAUCUUAUCCAUGUUACCUCACUUGUGGGAAGUUUCAUCAUGGGUUUUGUCGCGUCAGGUGUGGAGUGUGUUUUGGAAGUGUCAUUCGGGUCAUAUACAAUGAUAUUGUCUUUUAUCUAGGGUUUCCACCAAAGCUAAGGGUCUUAUUCUCUACUUCAUCAACUCUCAUAGCUAAGGGUGCUACAUUAGGGAUAGAAAAUAGCUGAAAUUGCCUUUAUGCACUUGACACCCAUCAGGAAUCCAAGGCAUCCUUAGAUGUUGUCACUAGUAUGUUAUAUAUUUUCUCUUAAGAUGUUUAUUGUUUUCUUGAUUUGGGUUCUACUCUGUCAUAUAUGAAUCUUUAUGUCAUUGUACACUUUGGUUCUAGUCCUAUAAGUGUGAAUUUUGGCAAGGUGUUGUAAAUUUUCUUUGGCAUAUAGUGUCUAGUAAAGGAAUCAAGGAGCACCUAAAAAAGAUUGAGAUAGUUAAGAAGUGGCCUAUACCCAUGACUCCAACCGACAUUAGGAGCUUUUUGGGCUUGGUCAGGUACUAUAAGAGGAUUUUUGAGAGUUUAUCAUCUAUUGUCGCUUUGCUGAUAAGGUUAAUUCAGAAAAGGUGAAGUUUUUAUGGUCUGAUCCUUGUGAGGGCAGUUUUGAGAAGUUAAAGGAUAAGUUGAUUUUUACUUCUAUUUUUACCCUACUCGAGGGAACUGAUGGGUUUGUUGUGUAUUACAAUGCAUCCCGUGUGGGUUUAAGGUAUGUUUUGAUGCAACAUUGUAAGGUUAUAUCUUAUGCUUCUAGGGAGCUUAAGGUUCAUGAGAGGAAUUACCCGACUAACGAUCUAGAGUUGGCGGAUAUGGUCUUUGCUGUGAAGAUUUGGCACCACAAUGUUGUAUGGGGUGAAUGUGGGUAUUUAUUCGGACCAUAAGAUCUUGCAGUAUGUGUUUACACAGUAGGAAUUGAAUCUUAAGAAGAGGCGCUGGAUCAAAUUGCUUAAAAAUAAUGACAUGAGCCUUCACUAUCGCCUAGGUGAAGCUACCAUUGUUGAUGAUGUGCUUAGUAGUCUAUCCAUAAGGAGUCUAUCCCACGUUAAAGAGGAUAAAAAAAGACUGUGAAGGACAUUCACCGGCUGGCUAGUUUAGGAGUUCACUUUUUACACUUUGACGAUGAAGGAGUGUUCAUUAUAGAAGUGGUUUAAUCAUCUCUUGGUACUGAGGUAAAGGGGAAGCAGGUUCUGGACCAUAUACCCAUGCAAAUCAAAGAUGGUGUGGGUCAUCAAAAGUUUAUGGCUUUUGAGACUGAGGUAGAUAACACCUUGAGAUAUCAAGGAAAGUUGUGUGUCCGUGAUGUAGAUGGGUUGCGGGAAAAUAUCUUGACUGAAGUGCAUGUGUCUAGGUAUACCAUUCAUUCGGGUUUGACACAAAUUUAUUAUAAUCUAGAAAAAAUCUAUUGGUGGAAUAAAUAUGAAAAGGUAUAUGACAAAUUUUGUUACCAAGUGUAUGGUCUGUUAGCAAGUCAAGGUUAAAUAUUUAACGUUGGGUGGCAUAUCAAAAGAGAUAGAAUUUUCCAUGUAGAAGUGGGAGAUGAUUAAUACAGAUUUCAUCUCGGGUCUUCCGCAGUCUCAAAAUUAGUAUGAUUCAAUUUGGGUCAUUGUGGACAGAAUGACCAAGUCUGCUCACUUUUUGCCGGUAAGGACUAACUACUCAGGAGAGGAUCAUGACAAGUUGUUUAUUUCGAAUUAGUUAAGUUGCAGGAACCCGAUGUCCAUCAUUUUAAACUAAGGUAUGCAGUUCUCUUCUUAUUUUUGGCAUUUUUUUCAAAAGGGGUUGGAUACCCAGGUGAACCAUAGCACAACUUUUCACCCUUAAAUGGAUGGGAAAGCGGAGCACACUAUUUAGACUCUAGAAGAAAUGCUAAGGUCCUGUGUAACAGACUUUAAAGGAAGUUGGGUUGAUCAUUUUCCUCUUAUUGAAUUUGCUUAUUGAACCAAGUUAGGACUAUCUUGGUUCACCAAUCCAUGGAGAAGGUAAAGGUGAUCCGAGAAAAACUUAAGGUUGCUUAAAGUUGCCAAAAGUCUUAUGCGGAUGUGAAGAGAAGGGAGAUGGAAUUUGAAGUUGAUGAUUGGGUAGUCUUUAAAGUUUCUUCAAUAAAGAGAAUCAUGAGAUUUGGGAAAAGGGGAAGCUUACCCCUCGUUUCAUUAGUCCAUACCAGAUAUUAAUAAGGAUUGGUAAUGUUUAUUUUAUAUUGGAAUUACCUACGAGUUUGACUUCAGGGUUUAUCUCGUAUUUCAUAUGUCUAUGCUUAAAAAGUGUGUGAGUGAUCCUUCUUUAGUAGUGGCCAUUAUAGAUAUUGGUGUCAAGGAUUCACUGUCCUACGAGAAAUUCCCAGUUGAGAUAUUGGAUAGGCAAGUUUGGAAACUGAGGACUAAGUAAAUAGCUUCGGUGAAGGUUCUUUAGAGGAAUCAAAAGGUAGAAGAGACUACGUGGGAAUAGGAAGAGGAUAUGAAAGCCAAGUACCCAUUCUUGUUCCCGAAACUGUUCAAGGUGUGAGUUUAAUUUCCCCUCUUGAAAUAUUUUGGAUUUGUCCUUGAAUUCCAUUGUGCUUUUUCUAUUAUCAUGCUAAGAAUGUCCUAACUCCUCAUUCAGGGAAGAAUUAUCCAGAGGAGGGGAUUAUGUAAGAUCCCGUAAAUUUUUGACCAAUUUAUUUAAGACCCUCCCUUGUUCUUAAUGGUAAUUUUUGACUUGAAUCCUGACAAGGGAUGUUACUGAGAUGUUUUUGAAGAGUUUCAAAAUUUUAGAAAAGAGUUCGGGGUCAUUUAUGGACCUCGAGAUAGUGAGCCUCAGUGAUAGGGGUGUAACGCUACCUAUGCCCUGUGAUAAGAGCAUGGCACAUGAUAAGGGUAUGGAACACUUCCUACGCCCCGCGAUAAGGGUGUUCCACGCUGCUGGGCACAAAUUGCCCAACUUUUUUUUCCAAUUGAGGGCAAGGGAUUUUUGAUCCUUUUCCUCAUUACACAACAUAAAAUGUCUUCUAAUCCCUCAUAGCCAUUAGUUGUCAACUUUUAACAUUGCUAUUCUCCUCUCCAUCUCCCAAGUCAAGAAACUCAAGAUUUUCUCAAGAAUUUACUACUCCGGACUCUAAAUUCCACAUUCUCUCCACAUUCUUCCAAUUUUUAGGCAUGCUGAACACUCCGUAAUUUAAAUACUAUAAUAUUUCAUUCAUUCGAUUGUUAUUUAAGAGCUCUAGAAUAAUGGGUUUAAAUUAGGGUUUGAUAAUUGUCAUCACUAAUAUAAAAUAUUGAUUUUCUCUUCUUAUAAAUUAUUUAUAACCACUUGUGGUGGGUUUUGGAUUUUUGAAUAACAUUUUUGAAAGGAUGCAUUGCAUUAUAUAAGUAUUGAAACAUUUAAUUUCAAGGAUGAUUGAACUCAUGAUUUUUCAAGCCCUUUGAAAAAUAUUUGAAUUGAGAUGCUAAACAAAGAUGACACCCUAUCUUUUUGAGAUAUUAAAAGUGUUAAACUUUAUGAAUGCUUUGAGGUUUUUAUGCUAUUUAAUAAUUAUUAUGAGCAUGAUUUUUGAAUGAAGGGGUUAAAGAGUCAUAACUAUUUUAAGAUAAUGGUUCUUGGCAUGAUAUGAAUGGUUUGUAAGUCUUGGUAUGAUGAUACCAGUAUGAAUAUGCCCUAAUGAAUGAUUCCAUGAUAAAUGUUAUGUGCAAACUGUUUUAAUUAGGAUCUAAAGGGAAUUAUAUAGUUCAACGUGAAGAUGUAAGUCUUUAUGACCAACGCCUAAAACCUAUGUUUGACGGAAUAGAGAUGUCGUACCUUAAUUGGAUGAUCAGAUUAUGUCCUUAACAUAAGGAUAAUAUAAAUAGUGUCUUUAGUCUACUUGUAAAUUAGCCUAACCUCGGUAUAUAUGACCAACACGAACUGGGGCCCCGUCGGUGGUGGAGCACCGAACUCUUAUAGCUGUGGGUUACUAGAUGACCCAUACUACCAAUGAGUCACUAGAUGAUUAUGAGAGCUAUAUGGUUCAUGAUUAAAGUAAAGGUUCAUGUAACAUGUCCCUUAUCCCUACCCAGUCAUCCUUUUAUGCACAUAGACCUGAUUUGCAUAUAGUUUAUAACUGGUUUUGUUAAAUGCAUAUAUGUUUUAUCCCUUUUCAUAUAUUGUAUGCAGUAGUACUGACUUGUAAGACCCCAAAAAAUACUAAGCUUGACUCCAUCCAUUUUUAGCUAAGGUCCCAGUCUUAAAUUUUUUAGCUAAGUAUCAAGACUUAGAAUCAUUUUAAGGUUCCAAAUUGGGAGAAUUUUAUUUCCGACCUUCCCGACCUUUGUUUGUUGAUUUUUAAGUUGAUUCAUGAUCGGAAAAGUCAAUAGUACAUCUUGGGUGAGUUUUAGAAUUUUUGAACAUGCGUAAAGGCAUGUUUGGUAUGUUGAAACAGUAGCUCAGGGCGACGGUACCUAGGUGUAGUCCAGAUGGGCAAGGUGGUGCCCUGCAUAGAGAGGUACUCCAGGGACCGUGGCGCCUUGUCCAGUCCGACUGGGGUAAUUCUAUAGUCUAGCUCCAAAAUCUUAAGGGCAAAAAGGUCAAUUCCCUUUACCCGUAUUUAGCCAAAACACGAGAUUUAGCACCAAAACACCAAAAUAUACUUACUUUUUCUCAAAUUCUCUCAAGAACAAGCCUUAGGGUUUUCAAUUGAGGAUUCAAAGCUUACAGAUUUCACCGUCAAUCAUCUCAAAAUCAAGCAACAAGGUAUGUUAAGUGUUCAUCCUUGGGUAUCCUUCCACCAUUGGAGUUCAAGAACUUUUUUUUUAAGAAUGAAUUAUGGAAUCCAUGUUAUGAAUUGAAUUGUGUGCAUGUUAAUGUUAUUGUACGGUUUCCAAGUAGAAAUCUUUGGUGGAUUCCUUGAAAUUAUGAUAGCAUGUAUGUUGAAUUUUGAUUCUCUUAAGUUGAAACCAUUAGAUUAUGAAUUAAUAUGGUAGUCAUGAUGUGUUAGCAUUGUUAUUUAUGCCCAAGAACAAGGUUAUGCUUCUAUGUGUUUGUCAAAAUGCCUAACUGAAUAAAUUGUGACCUUUUCUAUUGAUCUAAAUGAUGAACUUAUGCUAUAUCCUCAUGUUCAAAAUGACUCCCAUGAUAAAGCCAUGCCUUGAAAGUGUUUGUUGAAAUCCCUAUGUGGGUGAAAUAGUGCAAUUUUAUCAUGAUAACAUGUAAUCCCCAUUCAUGCUCAUGUUAAUGCAUUACAAGUGAUUGAUGAAAUGCCUUAGCAAGUAAAUUAUGAAUAUAUGGCCAUUGUUGUGAUUCAAGAAUUAUGUUAUGAUUUACUCUUUACGCUAUCGAGUCCUCAGGUAUUUAAUACCGGACAAUUUAGCAAUAUACCUAGAGCCAGUGUCAGUUAUAGAAUAAUAUCAGUCAUGUCACGAUCAGUAGUACUCUCAGUCAGUUACAAAGCUCAGGAAAGCUCAAUAAACUUAGUAUCAGUCCACUCUAGUUCAGUACUCAGUUCAGACCUCAGCUCAAUUCAGUUAAUCAGUACAAUCAGUAAUAGUUUAGUCUAGCCUAGUAUGAACUAGAAAAUCAGCUCAGUGUCUAUUCAAUUAGGAGUAGGAUUCAUCACCGAGUGAACCCAAGGAUGGGGACUCACCUACCAGUAGAGGGUGUGAUCCUUAGAAGCAAUCCUUGCAUUCCAAAACUACGUAUCCCGUGUAGGUUGAGACAUCAAACCUGCCAGACAAAGGUUGAUGAGGUGUUUUAACCUAUCACUUGAGGGUUCUACCAUUCUCAUUAGCGAACCUGCCAGAUGAGCGUAUCUCUUCACCCUUCCAACUAGGGUUACAGGUUGGACCCGAAAUCUAUUUAGAAAAGGGGCAUAUUAGUUAGAUGAUUACCUCCCACAGUCUCAGUUUCAGAUUCAAUUUUAGUAUAGAACUCAGAUAGUUCUACAGAAUCAGGAUUAUCUAAUACAGUCACACAACUCAGCAAAGAACUUAGAUAGUUCUUCAGAUUCAGGACUAUCAAAAAUAGUCACUCAGUAUCAGUAAUACAGUAUUAGUAAACACAGAUGUCAGUUAAUUAGUAUUUAGACUCAGUAUUCAGUAUUAUCACGAUCUCAGUUACAAUUUAUGUAUUCAUGCAUGUAUUUUUAUUCAGUCAUAUUUAUUUCAUUCAGUUAGUAUUGUUCAUGCAUAUGAAACCAUGCAUUUAGCCUAACUCACUUUUUUAUACCAGUAUAUUUAAAGUACUAACACAUACUUUUCUCUUGCACUAUGGUGUCUUAUAUCAUUGUUUCAGAUGCAAGGACUCCUGACCAUCCUUAGCAUCCCAUCUUAUCAACAGCAGACUUGUAGUGAAGUUAUCAUUUCAGUUAGUAGUAUUCAGUUUAUUUUUAGUAGUCAGAGUUAGUUGGGGACUUGUCCCAUCAACUCCACAGUUCAUAAAAUUUAGAGGUUUUUCAGGCUAUAGUUUCAGACAGAUGUUCAGUUUUUAGUAUUGAGGUUCAGUUUUGGUAUUAUUAUACCUUAUUUCAUUUUGUUAUAGUAUUGAAACUUAUGGAAAGUUUCUAUCUUUUUCCACAUUUAUCUCAGUUAUAUUGUUAUUACAGUAUUACUAUUGUUUAGUGCUCACAGCAAGUACAAGUCAUGGGUUAGCUAGUGGUCCUUUGGGAUUGUUAGCACCGUGUAGCAUUCAGGGUACAAACUCGGGGCAUUACAAACUUAGUAUUAGAGAUUAAGGUUCAACAGUGUCCUAGGAAGUCUAAAAGCCGCAUCUAUUAGAGUUUUGUGCAUAGGUGUAUUGGACGCCACACUUAUGGAAAGGAGGCUACGAGAUGUUUUAGAAAUAGUUUCCCUUAUUUCAGUAUUCACGUCAUGCGAAUGAGCAUGAGCUCAAGUUGAACUUUCAGUCUAAUCUAUUUUUUCCCUUUGUUUACAGAACAUGCCUCCCAAGAAAGGUAAUGGAAGGAGAAUUGGAAAUCAGUCAACAACUCAACCCGUUCAGGCAAAUCCCCUAGAUGAACACGUCUCACAUGCAGAAUUUAGAGUUGCAUUUACUACUCUAGCUAAUUUAGGUUUUGCUUAGAAUGAAUGCCCAACUACUAUUUUGGCCAACCCAGUGGCCAAUACUACUGUAGCCAGGAUUCGGGACUUCACCCGAAUGAACCCUCCAUCUUUUAUCAGGUCUAAGUCAGAUGAGGACCCUCAGGAAUUCCUUGAUUAGGUAUAGAAGGUUAUAGAUAUUAUGGGGCUAACAUCUACUGAGAGUGCUAAGCUAGCUAUAUAUUAGUUGCAAGAUAUGGCUCACUCAUGGUUCAAAUAGUGGAAAGAAGAGAGGGUCGUAGAUGCAGGGCCCAUAGAAUGGGAGAAGUUUUCCACUUAUUUUCUGGAUAGAUUCUUUCCCCUUUAGAUGAGAGAAGCUAAGGUGUUAGAAUUUAUCAACCUCAAGCAGGGAAACAUGACAGUGAAAGAAUAUUCUCUCAAGUUUACUCAGCUAGCUAGAUACGCUUCUUAUAUAGUGGCAGAUAACAGAUCUAAGAUGAGUAAAUUUAUAUCUAGGGUGAAUGAUAGUCUGGUCUAGGAGUGCAGGACCAUAAUGAUUAUUAGUGAGAUGGACCUAGCUAGGUUGAUAGUCCAUGCUCAGUAGAUAGAGGAGCAAAAAAAUAAGGAGAGAGAAGCAGAAUAAGAGAGCCAGAACAGGUAGUUUUAAAUUUGCUCAACCUAAGUCAUAGGGUGGGAAUUGUUCUUAGUUCCAUCCUAAAUCUUUAGUUCCAGGUCCAUCCUCAGUCAGUGCCCCAGUUCCAAAAUUCAGAGAUGGCAAUAGAGAUAGGGCGUUAGGCCCUAAACCUUAGGUUAGUGUUAGCAGUGCCUAAACCAAUCCUAUAUGUCAGCAGUGUGGCAAAAAUCACCAGGGUAUGUACAUAGUGGGCAAUGAUGUGUGUUUUGAAUAUGGCAAGCUAGGCCACAGAAUCGGAGAUUAUCCCCAGUCAGGUUCUUAAGGUCAACAUAACCGUCUUCCAGCUCAGUUUGGUCGUCUGAAUUAGUAGGGUGCCUCAUCCAGUGCCACUAGUAGGCAACGCCAAAACAGACUUUAUGCUCUUCAGUCCCGACAAGAUCAGUAAAAUUCUUCUGAUGUGAUCACUGGUACGUUACAAGUUUACCAUUUACAUGUUUAUGCUUUGUUAGAUCUAGGAGCUUUCUUGUAUUUUUUACUCCUUAUAUAGCUGUUGAUUUCAGAGUCAGUCCCAAAAUCCUAGUAGAGCCUUUCUCAGUAUCUACCUAGUGGGUAAAUCUAUCAUAUCCCAAUGGGUAUACAAGAACUAUCCAGUUAUGGUAUCUCAAAAAGUCACAUAAGCAGACUUAGUCGAAUUAAAGAUGACCGAUUUUGAUGUCAUUCUCAUUAUGGAUUGGCUUUAUUCUCGAUAUGCCUUAGUCAACUGCAAAAACAAAAUAGUCCAGUUUCAGUUCCCAAAUGAACCUAUCCUAGAGUGGAGGGGUAGUAUUUUAGCACUUAGGGGUCAGCUUGUUUCUUACCUUUGGGCGAGAAAAAUGAUAUCUAAGGGAUAUGUCUACCAUCUAGUUUGAGUCCAGAACUCUAACUCAGAAACCCCUAAUCUUGAAUCAGUGUCAGUAGCAUGUGAAUUCCUAGAUGUGUUUCCCAAAGAUCUUCUAAGAGUUCCUCCAGAAAGGGAAAUUGAAUAACACAUAUUCGAACAUACCAAACACGCAAAUUAUUCAGGAUUACGUAAAAUUGAGAGGAGCAAGGAUAGAAUUGAACCUUCCGAAUAUCGAUUUUUCGUUGAUAAUAAUAUUUAAGAAAACCCGAAUCCAAAGGCCUUAAUGCUGCUUUCAAGUAUUAUUCUGAUUAAAUCUGGUAGAGCCCGUGCCGAUGAACCUCGAAUCAACAAUCUCCAACCCGAACGUCGACUAACCGAAUUUCGAACCAACAGCGACGACAAGACAAGACGGAGCCCCCAACCCGAACAUGGACCAACCGGAUUUUUCCAACCAACAACGACGAUAAGACAAGACAGAAACCCCAACCCGAAUGUCGACUAACCGAAUUUUGAACCAACAACGACGAUAAACAAAAGGAACCCUAACCCGAACAUCAACUAACUGGAUUUCGAACCAACAACGACGAUAAACAAGACGGAACCCCAACCCGAACAUCCACUAACCUUGCGAAUGAAAGAAGCAGCAACCUGAACUCUCGGAUAAAAAAUAAACCUCAACAAACGGCUAAACCAACUCGGAGUUAAACAUCUAUGACUGGGACUCCGGCGACGAAAGACGAUGACACAAGUCCGGUUCAGCUGACUUUACUGUUUCGAACUGUGAUUAUUAUUUAAUCGUACUUUUGAUUUCAAACCGAACAGCUGACCGGAGCUCACGACCUGGACCUCAUCGGAACCUCAAAUCGGAAUCUGUGAAUCUAAAAUGGUCAACCCAAACUCGAUUAGUACCGAGAACGGAGCUGUUCUAGUUUUUCGGUAGAUAUAAGUCGAUUACAGCGAGAAGCUAGGUUGCCGGUUUUAAUGGAUUUUACGGCGCCUCUCCGAUCACUAUUCCCCAAAUCCCGAUUUCUCUCUCUGUUUUUGCUACUCUGUUUUCUUCGUCUCUCCCUACUUUUGCUACUCUGUUUUCUACGUCUUCCUCUCUCUAAAUCAACCCCCCAAUUUCUUGUUUUCCGAUCACCACCGACCCCUACUGCGUGCGUGUGUGUGAGGAACGUUUGUCGUGUAAAUGGUGAGGGUGAGGGUCGAUCGGAGGAAAGGAAGAAGAUGAGUGUGUGUAUUGUGUAUAUUAAUGGUGAUGAGAGGUUCGGUUUUUUUGUGGAGAAGAAAAGAAAAAUUUUGAGAAGUGCUGUAUAUCUUCUCUGUGAAGAGAAUGAAGCUUUUUGUUUUUUUAUCUCCCAAAAAUGGUUUCCGUCUCUCUCUGCUUGCCCCUUUUUUUGUGAGAGUAUGUGUGUAUAUAUUGUGAGGGUGGGUAGUGGUGAGGUAGGGUAGGUGGGGUCACGUGGGUAGGGGGUAGGAGGUAGGGUGUGGGGUGGUGAGGUGGUUUAUUUUGAUUCGGUAGGUUGUUAGGAUAAGAUAGAAUUAGUUAGGAUAGGUUUUGUUAGGGAUUUUGUUAUUUUAUUUUAUAUAUAUNNNNNNNNNNNNNNNNNNNNNNNNNNNNNNNNNNNNNNNNNNNNNNNNNNNNNNNNNNNNNNNNNNNNNNNNNNNNNNNNNNNNNNNNNNNNNNNNNNNNNNNNNNNNNNNNNNNNNNNNNNNNNNNNNNNNNNNNNNNNNNNNNNNNNNNNNNNNNNNNNNNNNNNNNNNNNNNNNNNNNNNNNNNNNNNNNNNNNNNNNNNNNNNNNNNNNNNNNNNNNNNNNNNNNNNNNNNNNNNNNNNNNNNNNNNNNNNNNNNNNNNNNNNNNNNNNNNNNNNNNNNNNNNNNNNNNNNNNNNNNNNNNNNNNNNNNNNNNNNNNNNNNNNNNNNNNNNNNNNNNNNNNNNNNNNNNNNNNNNNNNNNNNNNNNNNNNNNNNNNNNNNNNNNNNNNNNNNNNNNNUAUAUAUAUAUAUAUAUAUAUAUAUAUAUAUUUGUAUUUUGUGAGGGUAUAAUAACAUGGGUGAGGGUACACGGUAGGAUAAAAUAAGAAUGAGUAAAAACGACAUUGGAAGGGACGAAAUUAGGUGUCUACAUCGAUAAAGGAGAAAAAUAUAUAUCAUAUUUUAAUUUUACAAGUUAUAGUUCACUUUUGAUACAUGUUAGCUUUACACCUUAUAGUCUAAUUUGUUUUCGAGAUUGUAGAGUCAAGUUAGGACAUUAUAUAUAAGAGUCUUAAUUCAAUCAUUAGUCUUUAUUUUUUUUAUCUAGUGUGACAAUAUUAUUUGAUUGCAAACAUUUAUAAAACUAGAUAAUAGGUAUCUAGCAUAGUAGAUUUACAUUAAUUAGUCAUGCGUGUGCUUUUAAUCCUCCUAGCAAGAAAUAAAAAGAAUUCAUACUAGAGAUCAAAUGUUAGUCACAGAUAAAUCAAAAGCAAACAUAACUUACAACUGAUCCAUCCUUUGAGGCAUUUCCCAUUCCCUCCUUCAAGCGAUGAGCACGGACUUGGCCCUCAAGAUCACUAGUCUGUACAUAUAAUAGUAAAAGAACAAUGUUAAGUUUAGUGUUUUUCCAAGACUUCAUUUGGAUAACUAAUAUAUAUAUAUAUAUGUAUGUAUAUGUACCUUAUGGAUUUGGGAUUUCCAAGAUUGUGUCAAAGGCUGAAUUUUUUCGGCUUGAUCAUCAAAAGGAAGCAAAUUCAUUCAAUCUUGAGAGUGAAUUUUUCUCUUCUGCAAUUGUUGUUCUUGAUUUGCCAUAUUCAUUUAUGUAUUUGAUGUGUUGUUGGGUUUGUUUGUACUUUGUAUGUUCUUCAAACUGUUUCUUCACUUUUUCAACUUCCUGUCUUCCUUCACCACUUGGUCCAUUUAGAAUUCCUUCAAAUUUUGUGUGUUUUAG
rnacentral:lncRNA from 1 species